rnacentral:tRNA from 1 species
GCGGAGAUGCCCGAGUCGGUCCAAGGGGGGUGACUUAAGAUCUCCUAGUCGUAAGACUGCGUGGGUUCGAACCCCACUCUCCGCA